rnacentral:rRNA from 1 species
AUUGAACGCUGGCGGCAUGCUUUACACAUGCCAGUCGAACGGCAGCGCGGGCUUCGGCCUGGCGGCGAGUGGCGAACGGGUGAGUAGUACAUCGGAACGUGCCCAGUAGUGGGGGAUAGCUCGGCGAAAGCCGGAUUAAUACCGCAUACGACCUGAGGGUGAAAGCGGGGGAUCUUCGGACCUCGCGCUAUUGGAGCGGCCGAUGGCAGAUUAGCUAGUUGGUGGGGUAAAGGCCUACCAAGGCGACGAUCUGUAGCUGGUCUGAGAGGACGACCAGCCACACUGGGACUGAGACACGGCCCAGACUCCUACGGGAGGCAGCAGUGGGGAAUUUUGGACAAUGGGCGAAAGCCUGAUCCAGCAAUGCCGCGUGUGUGAUGAAGGCCUUCGGGUUGUAAAGCACUUUUGGCGGGAACGAAAAGGACUGUGCCAAUACCACGGUUCGAUGACGGUACCCGCAGAAUAAGCACCGGCUAACUACGUG